rnacentral:pre_miRNA from 1 species
CAACUACUCCCUCUAUCACAAAUUUCUUGUCUUAGAUUUGUCUAGAUACGGAUACAUCCGUAUCUAGACAAAUCUAAGACAAAAAUUUCGGGACGGAGGGGGUACUUU